CAGCAGCCGCGGGAAUACGUAGGGUGCAAGCGUUAAUCGGAAUUACUGGGCGUAAAGCGUGCGCAGGCGGUUAUAUAAGAAAGAUGUGAAAUCCCCGGGCUCAACCUGGGAACUGCAUUUGUGACUGUAUAGCUAGAGUACGGCAGAGGGGGAUGGAAUUCCGCGUGUAGCAGUGAAAUGCGUAGAUAUGCGGAGGAACACCGAUGGCGAAGGCAAUCCCCUGGGCCUGUACUGACGCUCAUGCACGAAAGCGUGGGGAGCAAACAGGAUUAGAUACCCCAGUAGUCCCUGUCUCUUAUAC
rnacentral:rRNA from 1 species